rnacentral:lncRNA from 1 species
AUGAAUGUAAAUUUUGGAGUUCUCAUAUGAUUCUCUUUUCAAUCUCACAGUAAAUUUUGGAUUUGAAUACAGCUCGGGAAGACAUAGAUGAGUGGGGAAGUUUUUUUGUUUUUUGUUUUAUUUUUUGUUUUUUGGUUUUGGUUUUUUUUAAUCUCCAAUUUUCUUAAUACAUUUUAAUGAUGUUGCAUCCAUGUUAUUUUUUAAUUAAUGUGUAAAAGUGUAACGUAAUUCUACGCGGCAUCUGUUUUUAUAAAGCGGGUAUAAUUUGACUAUUUUAAAUUUAAAAUAAUAUUUAACCUAUAAUAAGAAGAGUGGAUUUUUAAAAUGGCCACUUUCAUAUUGUAAAAAUAAAAAAUGUCCACUAAAAUAAAAAACUUAAAAAAUGUCCACUGUUACCAAAAUACCCUUCACAUUAAA